GCAGUAUGGUUUGAAGUGGUGAACAUGGAUUUUUCUCGGCUUCACAUGUACAGUCCUCCCCAGUGUGUGCCGGAGAACACGGGCUACACGUAUGCGCUCAGUUCCAGCUAUUCUUCAGAUGCUCUGGAUUUUGAGACGGAGCACAAAUUGGACCCUGUAUUUGAUUCUCCACGGAUGUCCCGCCGUAGUUUGCGCCUGGCCACGACAGCAUGCACCCUGGGGGAUGGUGAGGCUGUGGGUGCCAACAGCGGCACCAGCAGCGCUGUCUCCCUGAAGAACCGAGCGGCCAGAACAGCAAAACAGCGCAGAAGCACAAACAAAUCAGCUUUUAGUAUCAACCACGUGUCAAGGCAGGUCACAUCCUCUGGCGUCAGCCAUGGCGGCACUGUCAGCCUGCAGGAUGCUGUGACUCGACGGCCUCCUGUAUUGGACGAGUCUUGGAUUCGUGAACAGACUACAGUGGACCACUUCUGGGGUCUUGAUGAUGAUGGUGAUCUUAAAGGUGGAAAUAAAGCUGCCAUUCAGGGAAACGGGGAUGUGGGAGCCGCCGCCGCCGCCUCCGCGCACAACGGCUUCUCCUGCAGCAACUGCAGCAUGCUGUCCGAGCGCAAGGACGUGCUCACGGCGCACCCCGCGGCCCCCGGGCCCGUGUCGAGAGUUUAUUCUAGGGACAGGAAUCAAAAAUGCGGUGCGUCUUUCUACGUGAAUAGGAUUUUGUGGCUGGCCAGAUACACUGCGUCAUCUUUUUCAUCAUUUUUAGUUCAACUUUUUCAAGUGGUUUUAAUGAAGCUCAGUUAUGAAUCAGAAAAUUACAAAUUGAAAACUCAUGAAUCAAAAGAUUGUGAAUCCGAAAGCUAUAAGUCAAAAAGCCAUGAAUCAAAAGCUCAUGCCAGUUACUAUGGGAGAAUGAAUGUGAGAGAGGUUCUCAGAGAGGAUGGCCACCUCAGUGUAAAUGGGGAAGCGCUGUGCGACGACUGUAAGGGCAAGAGGCACCUCGACGCGCACACAGCCGCCCACUCGCAGUCGCCACGGCCGCCCGGUCGGGCAGGGACCCUCUGGCACAUCUGGGCAUGUGCAGGUUACUUCUUGCUGCAGAUUCUGCGCAGGAUCGGAGCUGCGGGCCAGGCCGUGUCCAGGACGGCGUGGUCGGCCCUUUGGCUGGCCGUGGUUGCUCCAGGGAAGGCAGCCUCUGGAGUGUUCUGGUGGCUGGGGAUUGGAUGGUACCAGUUUGUUACUUUGAUUUCUUGGCUGAAUGUGUUUCUUCUUACCAGGUGCCUUCGAAACAUCUGCAAGUUUUUAGUCUUGCUCAUCCCACUCUUCCUUUUACUAGGUAAGUCAAAUCUGGCUGAGUUGCCUCCGAUGGCUAAGCGGUACACACAUACGUGUAACUUAGUGGAAACAAAUGAGCGUGUAAGUCCGUGUUUUGAGAAGCGUGGUGUACCCGUGUGUGUGUGGUGGUUCUUCUCUUUUAGCAGGUCUCUCCUUACGGGGCCAGGGCAAUUUCUUUUCGUUCUUGCCCGUGUUGAACUGGGCAAGCAUGCAUAGAACACAGCGGGUGGAUGACCCCCAGGACGUGUUUAAACCCACGACUUCUCGCCUGAAGCAGCCUCUGCAGGGUGACAGUGAGGCUCUUCCAUGGCAUUGGAUGAGUGGCGUGGAGCAGCAGGUGGCCUCUCUGUCUGGACAGUGCCACCACCAUGGCGAGAAUCUCCGAGAGCUGACCGCUUUGCUUCAGAAGCUGCAGGCUCGGGUGGACCAGAUGGACGGCGGCGCUGCCGGGCCGUCAGCAUCGGUCAGAGACGCUGUGGGACAGCCCCCGAGGGAGACUGACUUUAUGGCUUUUCACCAAGAACAUGAAGUGCGUAUCUCACACUUGGAAGAUAUUCUGGGAAAACUGAGAGAAAAAUCUGAGGCCAUCCAGAAGGAACUAGAACAGACCAAGCAAAAAACAAUCAGUGCGGUUGGUGAGCAGCUCCUGCCCACGGUCGAGCACCUCCAGCUGGAGUUGGAUCAGCUAAAGUCAGAGCUGUCCAGCUGGCGACACUUGAAGACCGGCUGUGAGACAGUGGAUGCCGUACAAGAAAGAGUGGACGUGCAAGUCAGAGAAAUGGUGAAACUCCUGUUUUCCGAAGAUCAGCAAGGCGGUUCUCUGGAACAGCUGCUGCAGAGGUUCUCAUCACAGUUUGUGAGCAAAGGCGACUUGCACACGAUGCUGCGAGACCUGCAGCUGCAGAUCCUGCGGAACGUCACCCACCACGUUUCCGUGACCAAGCGGCUCCCAACCUCAGAAGCCGUGGUGUCUGCUGUGAGCGAGGCGGGGGCGUCUGGAAUAACAGAGGCGCAAGCACGUGCCAUCGUGAACAACGCGUUGAAGCUGUAUUCCCAAGAUAAGACCGGGAUGGUGGACUUUGCUCUGGAAUCUGGUGGUGGCAGCAUCUUGAGUACUCGCUGUUCUGAAACUUACGAAACCAAAACGGCGCUGAUGAGUCUGUUUGGGAUCCCGCUGUGGUACUUCUCGCAGUCCCCGCGCGUGGUCAUCCAGCCUGACAUUUACCCCGGUAACUGCUGGGCAUUUAAAGGCUCCCAGGGGUACCUGGUGGUGAGGCUCUCCAUGAUGAUCCACCCAGCCGCCUUCACUCUGGAGCACAUCCCUAAGACGCUGUCGCCAACAGGCAACAUCAGCAGCGCCCCCAAGGACUUCGCCGUCUAUGGAUUAGAAAAUGAGUAUCAGGAAGAAGGGCAGCUUCUGGGACAGUUCACGUAUGAUCAGGAUGGGGAGUCGCUCCAGAUGUUCCAGGCCCUGAAAAGACCCGACGACACAGCUUUCCAAAUAGUGGAACUUCGGAUUUUUUCUAACUGGGGCCAUCCUGAGUAUACCUGUCUGUAUCGGUUCAGAGUUCAUGGCGAACCUGUCAAGUGAAGACACUACUCAUUAUUUUUGUACAUUUUUGUAUAUACUGGGACAGCCUGAAACACUGGAAUCCUUCAUGGACGAGGGCAUAUACAAUGAUGGGACAGUGCCACACUCCUUCAAUAAACGUGGCUGCUGGCCAGAGGACGUGAGCGUGUGAUGGGCGCCUUGGCACCACCUGUUGGGUGCUCACUGCCUCUGCAGGUGCAGAGGGGUCAGCAGCAGGAGAAGCGUGUUGAACACGUGGCUCUCAGACACUCCUUGUUUUUAACGGGAAGCUCUUUGCAUUUGCAUUUCCUCGACAAAGGAGCAAAGCAGAGGAAGCUGAGAGUCUGGCGUGUUCUUGAUGCUUUGGUCUUCAGCCUUGCACUGGCUCUUCUAAAGGACUUUUGGAGGGCAGAUAAUUUCAUCUGUUAAAUCCAACACACAUUUCUUUCAGGGAAAAACAAUGUCACCAAAUUUUCAGAGUUCUAAACUCCUUUCCUUCAAGCCGGGAUUUUCCUUUUUUCAGCACCAGUAGGUACUAAGUCUCCAGACGGGGAAAUAACUAAAAUGUGUUUUUCUGCUUUGUUCGCUCUUACUUCUGAGGAAGGUUUCCAGUCAGGACUCGCUGUACCAAUAUCCGUGGAGGAAUAUGGGAGCGUUUUGCUCUCCUUGUAGGCUGAAGUCAGUCUGACUUGAAGGGGGCUGGUUUGGAUCUAAGCAAACACCCAGAUGGGGUUCUCUGGUCUCAGCAAGGCUUUUCCUGUUGGGAGUCACAGUAAACAGAAACCCAAAAAUCUCAUCUUGGGUGUUUUCAGGGCUCGUUUUGAGUUUUGCUGAAUAAGGAGCGCAAGACGCCCUGAGCCUCCCUCUCACUGGUGGUGAUAAGAGGAGCCGUCUGGUGUGUCAGGGUCACGAACCUGUUACAUUUCAGGACGAUCCUUUUUCCUUCAGCAGCAUUUCUUACUGGCUGUGGCUGGACUCUGCCUUUUAUCACAGCUGUCACCAUUCUCACGUGAUUCUUGUGAGACUCUUUGGUUAUAAUUACUAUUUAAUAUUUAGACUAUUUUACUGAGCAGACUUUAUAAUAAAUGAGAUAUCUACAAGGCACUUAAAGUGUUACAGAUGUUUUACCUUAAGAAUUAUUUAAGUUGUGUUAAGACAGUUUUCAGUGUACCGUAAAUGUUGUGUUUUCAGAAAAAGACAAAACGAUGGUGCUGACUGGUUUUCUGUAUAUUGCACAACAGUCCUCAAAUACACUGAUGUAUGAAACUAUUCAUACAUCAAGCAGCAUUUUUUUCACUCUCCUUAGAAUUGGAACUAUGCAGUUAAGGCAGAUAAAAUGUACAGAUGUUUCAUAUAUUACAGGUUACAUAUAUAAAUCAAAAUUUCCUAUAUAAAACUGAUUUGGGAUUUGGGGUGGAAAUAUUUUGAAUAUUAAUUUAUUUUUAAAGAUGCAAGAUAGGACUUUGUGCAAUGUAUUUUUGUAAAUGCUUUUCAAAAUAUCUGUCUUUGGUAGUGCUUCUUCUGCUGCCACCAAAUUGAUAAGAUGCUAUUAAGAGGUUUAAAUAAAGAGUUUUAAUUUUUAAAAGUG
rnacentral:sRNA from 1 species